AACGUAGGUUCCGAGCGUUAUCCGGAUUUACUGGGCGUAAAGCGCGUUCAGGCGGUUUGGCAAGUUGGGCCUGAAAUCUCUCGGCUCAACCGGGAGAGGUCGUCCGAUACUUCCAGACUUGAGGGCAGUAGAGGGUGGUGGAAUUCCGGGUGUAGUGGUGAAAUGCGUAGAUAUCCGGAGGAACACCAGUGGCGAAAGCGGCCACCUGGACUGCACCUGACGCUGACACGCGAAAGCUAGGGGAGCGAACGGG
rnacentral:rRNA from 1 species